rnacentral:rRNA from 1 species
AUUGAACGCUGGCGGCAGGCCUAACACAUGCAAGUCGAGCGAGCGGCGGACGGGUGAGUAAUGUCUGGUAAUUGCCCAGGCGAGGGGGAUAACAGUUGGAAACGACUGCUAAUACCGCAUACGAGUGGAUUGUUCAGGUGGGAUUAGCUAGUUGGUGUGGUAAUGGCGCACCAAGGCGACGAACCCUAGCUGGUCUGAGAGGAUGAUCAGCCACACUGGAACUGAGACACGGUCCAGACUCCUACGGGAGGCAGCAGUGGGGAAUAUUGCACAAUGGGGGAAACCCUGAUGCAGCCAUGCCGCGUGUGUGAAGAAGGCCUUCGGGUUGUAAAGCACUUUCAGCGAGGAGGCGUUACUCGCAGAAGAAGCACCGGCUAACUCCGUGCCAGCAGCCGCGGUAAUUC